rnacentral:lncRNA from 1 species
CACCAUAAUCGAUUAUACAUGCCAAACUAAAAUGAAAAUUUCAGUUUCAAUUACAGUUAAGUAAAGUCUCAACUUCAGAACAAACAUAUGCUACAAAUGGUUAUACUUAAGUAAUUAGGCUGGCAUGGACAAUAAACCAAAAUACAAUAAGAUGAUAUAGCUAAUAAAAUAAUAAGGGAUCAUCCCUUUUCAACUUCUAUAACUCAAAUUACAUAACUCAGACCCAGCUUAGCCUAAAAACUUCAUUUAUAUUCAUAGUGUGAAGAGAUGUACCUGGAGAAUGAAAUAAAAGGAAAUCAGUAGCCCAGCAGAAAACAACGGAAUUAAGCAACCAGAAUCAGCUAAUGAACCAAAUUCAACCCCAGGAAAUGAUUUAAACAGCCCAGAAACAAUUCGAAUGAAUAACAACCAAGCGAACUUCCAAUCAAUGCUUAAAAGAGAACGAGAUUCAAUACAUAUUAACAAUUAAACGAAUCAGAACUUGCUUUAGUAAUUCAAAACUUCGAGAUCAUUGAAACGAAGUUUGAUAAAACAGUAGAAAUUUUAGCCAUUUUUUGUAUUUUUCUGGAUUUUAUCUCUUAGGUCUGCCUUCAUAUGCAAGAAAACCAUGCCUUUAUAUGCAAGGAAGUAGGGCAGCUUUCAUGUUCUAUUUUUUGCAUUUUUCCGCUUGGUGAACUUUAGUUUUUUCUACUUAGUCCUUAUCUAGUUUUCCUUUUUUCUGAACUAUCCCUAAUGUAUUUAUCAAACUAACACAAAAUCCCCUCACCCCAGCUUCAUGGAAGCUUCCAAUUCAGUUACCAUGAGGUUCCCUCACUAAAACUACCCAAACUACCUCUUCACCCUCUAAAAAUUACUUCAGAUACCAAACAAAAUAGGUUAACUUUGACCCAAGGUUGAAUUGAUUCAAACCCAGCCCAAAUCAAUGAUCAAAAAUCUAAAGGCAUAGACCAAAAGCCCAAAUCAAGCCAAAUUGACUUAAACCAACACCAAUAACAAAGACAAUCCAAACAACUUCAAAGAAUCAAUUAAUGGACUAAUUAAUCAGGCUAAAUGAUCCUAGAGGUUUAAAUUAACAUGCAUAACACAAAUGAACCUUAAGAAACUAAUAAGAAAACAAAAAUAGAAACCAAAAGAAGCAAACGAUGGGUUGACUUUAAACAACAGAAGAGAAAAAAGAAAAGAACCAGAAAUAUAAAAAUACCUAAAGGAUUGUCCAAACCUUGAAGUUCUUCUUCACGAACUCAAUUUUAACCGAGAGGGCCUUAAUCAUGUGUCUUCAUAUAAAAACACAUGACCAAGGUCCGUUCUGGUCUUAAUCAACGUAUAACCUACUAAUUUCAGAGGCUUCGACAUAUUUAGGUCUUACUUCCAACUCAGAUUCAACAAAUUCAGUGUGUAUUCGAAGGAAUUGGGGUUAGGAUUUAGGAAGAGGGGAGUGAGGGGAUCUCAGGGUAUUGAUUUGGUGAGGAUUAGUGGUGGCACCACUGGGUAAGGGAUUGGGAAUUCUAGGGCAGCGGAUAGGGUUCUAGGUUGAGUUCUCUGAU